rnacentral:lncRNA from 1 species
ACCAUGGCCGUUAGUAGAUUUCUCCUCACACUUUGCUUCAUACAACAUGCCGAGUAUCAGCAAUGUUUUUAAAAUCUCUGACAGAGUAACACCAUCACUGAAAUAAGAACUCCUGAUGUCUCCUAGGCCAACAAAGCAAAAACCAAGUAUAGAAUAUCAACCGAGUUCGCUGCAUAGUUGGAGUGGCCUGAUUUGACUCUGUGAAGGGUUGCUCAUCUUU